rnacentral:misc_RNA from 1 species
CCGCCGAGCCGAGCAAGAGCGUCUUCAACCCAUAUUGCCAAACCCGGGUAUCGGCCAGGAAUUGCGCGGGGGUGCAGGCCGUCACCAGGACGCCGAGCAGGAUCAACACAAACGCACAAGCCGCAAGGGCCGGAAAAAUACGCAGGCCACGAGCCACGAGGAACUCAACCGUCGAUCGUGAACGCGCCCAACUGGCGGCCACCGUCAGCCCGGACAGAACGAAGAAAACAUUAACCGCGUGGGCGCCGAGAUCAUAGUGGUUGAUGCCCGAGAAUAUCUCGUCGGCCUUGCUGCCCGAGCGCAGAAAGACAGCGUGUGAAAUAACCACA